rnacentral:lncRNA from 1 species
GCGUCUCCGGAUCCGGGAGCAGGGCCUCUGGGGCGGGUCCCGUCCCAACGGACACAACGGACCUGGUUCCGUGCAGCUGCGACUGCUUGGAGUGCUUUCCGGUGCUCCAGGUGCGAAGCAAAGGCACAAACCGCGGGCACCUUGCCACAGAAACCCAGCGCAGGAGCCAGGGCUGAGGAGCAGCGAGAGGCACAGAAGCUGAGGUUUCUGGCCUCCGUCUGCGACGCCUGCAAAGCCGCCGUCGCGGACCACACCACCUGGGACGCGGUGUAUUUCUGCCAGCUGGAGGUGGCGCAGAGAAUCAAGGCGCUGCUGCAGGAGGAGCCCACCGAUCGCCUGGACACGGCGGUGCGGCAGAAAGCCAUGCUCGCCAUCGCCGCCAUGAGCAGAGCGGGGCUGCUGCCGCAGGACAGGACGAACGGCCUCCUGCGCGCCUGCCUCUGCAGCGUCUUCCACCUCCCUGGCCACGAGGACACGAGAGACACGGACACGUCUCUCUACUUCAAGACCGUGGAAGCCCUGGACAGCCUGCUGCAGGUGCUGGUGGGCAGCGCCGGCGCCUCCGGCCUCCUGGAGCUGCAGAACAUCUUGAAGGUCUGGCUUUGGCAAAGGCUGGGCUUCACGCACGCGGUCAGUUCUGUGCCGCAACGCCUGGUGCAGGCAGGGGUCCCCAAGGCGGGGGCUGGCCCACAGCUGGCCCUUGC